GAGCUGUGAUGAAACUGUGUUCACUGUGUUAGAUGGGUCUAUCACAAUCCUCUGAUCCUUUCAGACGAAUAUAACACAUCCGAGCUC
rfam:Vigna angularis cultivar Jingnong 6 chromosome 7, whole genome shotgun sequence.